AACAAAACGAUUACCCUGAAGGGCGAUCCCAAUCACU
rnacentral:rRNA from 1 species